AAAACCACUCAAGCGAUUUUGCUUGGUCUUGGAGGAAGAGCAGCCUUCCGGCAGCUCCCCUCUGAAAUACAAUGGCGGAUGGUCCCUUGAGCCCCGACGUAGUAAGAGCAAUCUUUCGUCGGAGAUCUUGGACACUCCUGCCCUCAAUCCCAAACUUUAUUAU
rnacentral:misc_RNA from 1 species